AGAACCGGGUGGUGUAGAACUAGAUGGUGUAAAACCGGGUGGUGUAGAACUAGAUGGUGUAGAACCCGGUGGCGUAGAACCAGGUGAUGUAGAACCCGGUGGUGUAGAACCAGGUGGUGUAGAACUAGAUGGUGUAGAACCAGGUGGUGUAGAACCAGGUGGUGUAGAACUAGAUGAUGUAGAACUAGAUGAUGUAGAACCGGGUGGUGUAGAACUAGAUGAUGUAGAACUAGAUGAUGUAGAACCGGAUGGUGUCUCUACCCUCCUGGUUCUAGUCAGAUCUCCAGCUGCAGCUUCUGGUCGUCAGUCUGACCUGCUGCAGGAAUCAUGACUGCAGCCGAUCAGCUGAUUGUUAUGACCAACUGGAAUCGGUUCUUAUUUCUCCCAGCCGGUAAAAUUGAUCUAGAACGGCAUGAAACUCCCUGCAGUCAGAGUAAACGCUGUGACUA